rnacentral:rRNA from 1 species
CUACGGGGCGCACCAGUGAGGAAUAUUGCACAAUGGGGGGAACCCUGAUGCAGCAACGCCGCGUGGAGGAUGACGCAUUUCGGUGUGUAAACUCCUUUUAUAUGUCAAGAAAAUGACGGUAGCAUAUGAAUAAGCACCGGCUAACUCCGGUGCCAGCAGCCGCGGGUAAUACGGAGGGUGCAAGCGUUACUCGGAAUCACUGGGCGUAAAGGACGCGUAGGCGGGUUGGAAAGUCAGGUGUGAAAUCCUACAGCUUAACUGUAGAACUGCACUUGAAACUUCUAAUCUAGAGUAUGGGAGGGGGAGAUGGAAUUAGUGGUGUAGGGGUAAAAUCCGUAGAUAUCACUAGGAAUACCUAAAGCGAAGGCGAUCUCCUGGAACAUUACUGACGCUAAGGCGUGAAAGCGUGGGGAGCAAACAGGAUUAGAUACCCCCGUAGUC